AACCACUUCGCGUGGGGAUUACUGGCAAACGGGUGAGUAACACGUGGGCUAUCUGCCCUGCACUCUGGGACAAGCCCUGGCAAACGGGGUCUAAUACCGGAUACUGACCCUCCACAGGCAUCUGCUAGGUUCGAAAGCUCCGGCGGAUGCAGGAUGAGCCCCCGGUCUAUCAGCUUGUUGGUGACGUAAUGGCUCACCAAGGCGACGACGGGUAGCCGGCCUGAGAGGGCGAUCGGACACACUGGGACUGAGACACUGUCCAUACUCCUACGGGAGGCAUCAGUGGGGAAUAUUGCACAAUGGGCGAAAGCCUGAUGCAGCGACUCCGCGAUGAGGGAUGACGGCCUUCGGGUUGUAAACCUCUUUCACCAGGGAAGAAGCGAAAGUGACGGUACCUGGCAGAAUAACCGCCGGCUAACUACAUGCCAUCACCCCGCGGUUCAUACCUAACGGCCGCAACGCGCUUGUUCCGCGAACUUAUAGGGCCGUAAAUGAGCUGAUAAUGCUGAUUUAUUAAUUUUGGGUUUGUUAAAAUCCCGUUGUCUCCCCCCCCCUCUCUCUUACACUCUAAUGAAAGCCCGGGGCCUUAACCCCGGGAUCUGCAGUCGAUACGGGCAGGCUAGAGUUCGGUAGGGGAGAUCGGAAUUCCUGGGUGUAGCGGUGAAAUGCUCAAAUAUCAGGAGGAACACCGGUGGCAAAGGCGGAUCUCUGGGCCGAUACUGACGCUGAGGACCGAAAGCCUGGGGAGCGAACAGGAUUAAAUACCCUGGUUAUUCCACCCCGUAAACAGUGGGCACUAGGUGUGGGCAACAUUCCACGUUGUCCGUGCCGCAUCUAACGCAUUAAGUGCCCCGCCUGGGGAAUACGGCCGCAGGGCUAAAACUCAAAAGAAUUGACGGGGGCCCGCACAAGCGGCGGAACAUGUGGCUUAAUUCGACGCAACGCGAAGAACCUUACCAAGGCUUGACAUACACCGGAAAGCAUCAGAGAUGGUGCCCCCCUUGUGGUCGGUGUACAGGUGGUGCAUGGCUGUCGUCAGCUCGUGUCGUGAGAUGUUGGGUUAAGUCCCGCAAAGAGCGCAACCCUUGUCCCGUGUUGCCAGCAGGCCCUUGUGGUGUUGGGGAGUCACGGGAGACCGACCGGGGUCAAAUCGGAGGAAGGUGGGGAGGACGUCAAGUCAUCAUGCCCCUUAUGUCUUGGGCGGCACACGUGCUACAAUGGCCGGUACAAUGAGCUGCGAUACCGCAAGGUGGAGCGAAUUUCUUUAAGCCGGUCUCAGUUCGGAUGGGGGUCUGCAACUAGACCCCAUGAAGUCGGAGUCGUUAGUAAUCGCAGAUCAGCAUUGCUGCGGUGAAUACGUUCCCGGGCGUUGUACACACCGCCCGUCACGUCACGAAAGUCGGUAACACCCGAAGCCGGUGGCCCAACCCCCUUGUGGGAGGGAGCUGUCGAAGGUGGGAAUGGGCUGAUUGGGGCGAAGUCGUAAC
rnacentral:rRNA from 1 species